AUUGAACGCUGGCGGCAGGCUUAACACAUGCAAGUCGAGCGGGGUGAUGGUGCUUGCACUAUCACUUAGCGGCGGACGGGUGAGUAAUGCUUAGGAAUCUGCCUAUUAGUGGGGGACAACAUCUCGAAAGGGAUGCUAAUACCGCAUACGUCCUACGGGAGAAAGCAGGGGAUCACUUGUGACCUUGCGCUAAUAGAUGAGCCUAAGUCGGAUUAGCUAGUUGGUGGGGUAAAGGCCUACCAAGGCGACGAUCUGUAGCGGGUCUGAGAGGAUGGUCCGCCACGCUGGGACUGAGACACGGCCCAGACUCCUACGGGAGGCAGCAGUGGGGAAUAUUGGACAAUGGGGGGAACCCUGAUCCAGCCAUGCCGCGUGUGUGAAGAAGGCCUUAUGGUUGUGAAGCACUUUAAGCGAGGAGGAGGCUCUUUUGGUUAAUACCCAAGAUGAGUGGACGUUACUCGCAGAAUAAGCACCGGCUAACUCUGUGCCAGCCGCCGCCGUAA
rnacentral:rRNA from 1 species